rnacentral:rRNA from 1 species
GACGAACGCUGGCGGCGUGCUUAACACAUGCAAGUCGAACGGAAAGGCCCUGCUUUUGUUGGGUGCUCGAGUGGCGAACGGGUGAGUAACACGUGAGUAACCUGCCCUUGACUUUGGGAUAACUUCAGGAAACUGGGGCUAAUACCGGAUAGGAGCUCCUGCUGCAUGGUGGGGGUUGGAAAGUUUCGGCGGUUGGGGAUGGACUCGCGGCUUAUCAGCUUGUUGGUGGGGUAGUGGCUUACCAAGGCUUUGACGGGUAGCCGGCCUGAGAGGGUGACCGGCCACAUUGCGACUGAGAUACGGCCCAGACUCCUACGGGAGGCAGCAGUGGGGAAUAUUGCACAGUGGGCGGAAGCCUGAUGCAGCAACGCCGCGUGCGGGAUGACGGCCUUCGGGUUGUAAACCGCUUUCGCCUGUGACGAAGCGUGAGUGACGGUAAUGGGUAAAGAAGCACCGGCUAACUACGUG